rnacentral:tRNA from 1 species
GAGGGUAUAGCCGAGUGGUAAAGUGCAUGCCUAGCAUGCAUGAAGUCAUGGGUUCAAUCUUCAGUACCUCUA